UGGGGAAUAUUGGACAAUGGGCGAAAGCCUGAUCCAGCCAUGCCGCGUGAGUGACGAAGGCCUUAGGGUUGUAAAACUCUUUCGUCGGGGACGAUAAUGACGGUACCCGAAGAAGAAGCUCCGGCUAACUUCGUGCCAGCAGCCGCGGUGAUACGAAGGGAGCUAGCGUUGUUCGGAAUCACUGGGCGUAAAGCGCACGUAGGCGGAUAGUUAAGUCAGGGGUGAAAUCCUGGGGCUCAACCCCAGAACUGCCUUUGAUACUGGCUGUCUCGAGGUCGAGAGAGGUUGGUGGAAUUCCUAGUGUAGAGGUGAAAUUCGUAGAUAUUAGGAAGAACACCAGUGGCGAAGGCGGCCAACUGGCUCGAUACUGACGCUGAGGUGCGAAAGCGUGGGGAGCAAACAGGAUUAGAUACCCAAGUAGUCCCUGAGCGGGCUGGCAAGGCGCAU
rnacentral:rRNA from 1 species